rnacentral:rRNA from 1 species
GAUGAACGCUGGCGGCGUGCUUAACACAUGCAAGUCGAACGGGAAUUACUUUAUUGAAACUUCGGUGGAUUUAAUUUAAUUCUAGUGGCGGACGGGUGAGUAACGCGUGGGUAACCUGCCUUAUACAGGGGGAUAACAGUCAGAAAUGGCUGCUAAUACCGCAUAAGCGCACAGAGCUGCAUGGCUCAGUGUGAAAAACUCCGGUGGUAUAAGAUGGACCCGCGUUGGAUUAGCUAGUUGGUGGGGUAACGGCCCACCAAGGCGACGAUCCAUAGCCGGCCUGAGAGGGUGAACGGCCACAUUGGGACUGAGACACGGCCCAGACUCCUACGGGAGGCAGCAGUGGGGAAUAUUGCACAAUGGGGGAAACCCUGAUGCAGCGACGCCGCGUGAAGGAAGAAGUAUCUCGGUAUGUAAACUUCUAUCAGCAGGGAAGAUAGUGACGGUA